AUUUUUAUAUUUUAUUUUUUUAUAGAGACGGGAUUUCACCAUGUUUCCCAGGCUGUUCUCAAACUCCUGGACUCAAGCGAUCCUCCCGCCUUGGCCUCCCACAGUGCUGGGAUGACAGGCGUGAGCCACCGCGCUGGCCCGGGCUGUGCAUUUGUUUGCAUUCUUCUCAAAUUAGUUUUCAGUUUCCCUGAUGGUCUCUUUGACUCACUGGUUGUUUAGGAGUGUGCAAUUUCCACAUAUUUUUGAAUUUCUCACAUUUCCUUCACUGUUGAUUUCCAGUUUCGUGCCAGUACAGCUGAAGAACACCUCUGCUUUGGUCUCAGUCCUUCUCCAUUCACUGAGGCUCAUUUUGUGGCCUGGCACAUGGUCUGUUAUGGGGAAUGUCCCAUGGGUGCUCGAGAGGACUGUGUAUUCAGCUGUUGUUGGGUGGUGUGUGUAACAGAUGUCCAUUCGGCGUACCUGGUUUCCUGUGUUAAUCUCUGGAAUGUUUCUGUCACUAGAAAAUCAGAAACUUUCCACCGAUCCCAGCGCCCUGGCUUUGGGAGAGGCCAGUGAGCCUGUGGCUUGGGAGCCUGGUUGCAUGAGAGAAGCAUGUGUGGGAAUGCCAGGGCCCGGCUUUGAACCCCAUUCCCCCAACAUGAUGCCCGAUGUGGCAGACAUGACGCUUGGCUUUGCUCUCUCAGGGUUCCAUCUGCGACAGGGGCUACUUGUGCCCCCGGCCUCAUCAGCUCAGGCUGAAGGCGGCCCUGGUCCUGGCCAGAGGGGCUUUGUGAAGCAGAAAUAGAUGGCCUGGUGCAGGGGCCGAGCCUGUCCAGGACCUCGGCCCUGGGAGGUGUAAAGAAGGCCGGCCUCUACCAUGAGCAUCUGCACCAAGGUGUGCCCAUGUGACUGUGUGUUCGGAAUCUGUCCUGGCACGAGUGCAUGGCCUGUCUGUGCUCAGUCUCCCCGCCUAUGGGGCCCAGGCUCACAGAGGUGUGAAAGAGGCAAGCAUGGCACAGGGGCCUCCGAGCCCAGCCAGCCUCGCUUCGAUGCUGGGAGACUAACGUCUUCCAUUUUGUCUUCUGCCCAGGCCAGCUGUGGGCCGUCCAGCGGCUGUGCUACUUCUACAGCACCGUCAUGCCCAGCGAGGCCCAGUGUGUCAUCUACCAUGAGCUCCAGCUCUCCCUGGCCCGCAAGGUGGCCGACAAGGUGCUGGAGGGGCAGCUCCUGGAGACCAUCAGUUAGCUCUACCUCUCCCUGGGUACCGAGUGGGCCUACAAAUCCACUCUGGACUACACUAAAUGAAGUCUGGGGAUUUUCGUUGACCUUCAGAAGAAAGAGAAGGAGGCGCAUGCCUGGCUGCAAGCAGGGAAGAUCUAUUACGGCCUGCAGCAGAGCGAGCUGGUGGACCUGUACAUCCAGGUGGCACAGAAUGUGGUCCUGUACACAGGUGACUCCAACUUGGGGCUGGAGCUGUUUGAGGCAGCUGGAGACAUCUUCAAUGGGGCCUGGGAGCAGGAGAAAGCCGUGUCCUUCUACCGGGUGAGCUGGCCUGUGGGCUGAUGUGGGUGGGCCUCAGGGAGGCACCUGGAGGGCUGAGGCACAGGUGUGGCAGGGCAGAGGCCUCCCACCUGGAGGCAGGGCCACCCAUGCACAUGCUUAGUUUCCAAGUGGUCUCACCGGGCAUGAUAUUGACCAUGCCCCUGCCCGGGACAAACGCUCGGGGCCUGGAUGUGACAAUGGCUCUACCCUUGUACCUGAUGAUCUCAAGCAACCAUGAGCGGGAAGUUCUGUCCCCAUCUUUCAGAUGAGGAAACUGAGGUUCAGAGAGGCACAGGGACAUGUCAAAGGACACACAGCAUGUCAGUGGGAGGCCCAGGUCUGCAUGCACCCCGAAGUGGGACGGCUUCUCCCUUCCUCUGAGCUCACGGUGUGGCUCAGCCCUGGGCACAGAUAAAUGUGUUUUUAGAGCAGAGAGGAGUGCUGGCUCCCCCGAGUCAGACCCCCGGUGCCCAGGUGGGAGAGGCUGGUCUGAGGCUGCCGGGUGUAGCUGGAUGGGCCUCAGGUGACUCUUCAGCCCCCUACUUGGGGGUAUGAACUGUGUGUUAUCCCAAAGCACAGAGCUGUGUCGAGGUGCAGGGGUAGCUGGGGUGUGGGAAGCUCCAAGUAUAUGUUUGAGCUCUGAGGAGGGUGCUGGGCAAGGUAGGUGCUGCGGGAAACCUGAGCCACCUGCCUGUGUUGUAAGACUGGGUCCUGGCCCUGGCAGUGACUACGGGCAACCGCAGGGUGGAGCUGCAGCUACAGCUGCGCAACAAGCUGGUGGCACUCCUGGCCACACGGGAGAAGCCCCAGGAGGGCUUGGAGUUUGCCUACGUGGCCCUAGCACUCAGCAUCACUCUGGGUAAGUCCCCUGAGCUCCCACCCUGCCAGGACCCACACUUUGCCAGAGCCCAGCCUCCAGGUCUACAGGGCAGGAGCUGAAACAGCUGCUGGAUUUUCCUGGUCUCCUGUCCAGGCAGGCAGAUCUGCCCAACUGGCUUCCCCGUCCAGCCGUGGGGCACAGCCCGAGGUCUCUCAGGCAGUGUAGAGCUCCCUGCCUGACUGAGCUCUGCUUCCUCUGCCUGUUCCCGCUGCUGACCACAAGGGCCGCCCAGUGUGCCCUCUGCCUUGCAGACAUGCCAGGCAUCUCGUUGGUCCCUGUAUGUGCCAGGCUGAGUGGCAUAUUCCCUUUCUCUUGUGCCCUUCCUACCCUCAUCAACCACAUGGCUCUCUGGCUGAUAAAAUCCCAGUUCCCCUUCCAACAGUCUGCCCCUUAAGGCCGGGCAUCCCCUGAUGCUGUGCCAGGGUUGUCUGUCCCCCUCCAGACAUAGGGAACCCUAGGCAGGCCACAUGCCCCAGCGCCUUGUGCCCCAUGGCCCAGUACACAGUAGGUUUGCAGCUGACUCCCCAAGGUAGGGGGCUCUGAUCGUGACACACCCAGGAGGAGUCGGAUGUCACGUCUGUGGGUUGCCUGGAGCCGGGGUGCCCGGGAGCACCUGGACUGCAUGGCUUUUGGGCUCCCCUGGUUAAAACCAGUGAGCAAAGGCAGGUGGCUAUGUGUAGGCACAGAGCUGGGCCAUCCAAGUCCGACUUUGCCAAAGCCUCACAGUAGACAGGGGCAGGCCUUAUUAGUUCUGCUUUGCAGAUGGGAAAGUGAGUCUGGGAACCUGGAAGGGACUGGCCAGAGCUGCCCAGAUGACCACAGGUGCCUGGAGGCAAGCCAGGUGUGCUGCCCGGGGUCUGCAUACCUGCUCCUGAGGGGCCUGUGCCCUCUCUGCCCCAGGGAGCCAUGUCCUCACACCUGCCCCUUUGGCCUGCACCCCAGGGGACCAGCUGAACGAGCGCACGGCCUACCACCGGCUGGCCGCCCUGCACCAUCGGCUGGGCCAUGGCAAGCUGGCGAAGCACUUCUACCUCAAGGCCCUGUAGCUCUGCAACUCGCCGCUGGAGUUCGACGAGGAGACCCUCUACUUCGUGAAGGUGUACCUGGUGCUCGGUGACAUCAUCUUCUAUGACCUGAAGGUGGGUGGCAGGGGCAGGGCUCGGGGUGUUCCCGGCCCCCUUGGAGUGGGAUCUCCACCCAGACCCCAGAGGCCUGUGUUCCAGCCUUCCUUAGGAAUGGCCCAGUGGCCUCCCUGGAGCUCUGCACGCGGCUGGAGGAGCGGGCAAGGUUCGCAGAUACAACCCAGCUCCCAAGCUGGCCAGGCCCCACCCUCAAGAACUCAGUCUCAGCCAGGGAGGCUGACACAUGAGUGGGCAAUGGUGGCCUCUGGGUAAAGAAGGGGGAUUGUAGUCGGGGGGCCCUCCUGGAUGAGGUGACACCAAAGCUGAGUCUUGACAGUCAAGUGUCAAGUUGCAUUUAACAAAGAAAACAGGGUCGGGAGAAGGACAUUUCGGAGGACAGCAUCAUCCUCACAUUAAAUCCAUGUUGCAAGAUCCAACCCAAAUCCUGGCGCCUCCUCUAGGAAGCCUGCCCAGGGUGCCAGCCUGCACUGAGCAACUCCUUCCUGGAGUCCCGAGACACCUUGAAUCUUCACAUCACCCAGGAAGGGUGGGGUGGGACCAGUGUCUUACCAUCGGGUUCACAGACAGGGAAACCCCAUCACAGGGCAGGUGCAGUGGGGCGGGGACCCAGCCAGCCAGGCUGAGGCCUUGCUGGGUCGGGUCUGUCUCGAGGGGAGGUGCUGUGCUCCCUCUGCCCCCAGCCCUGCAGGAGUGGAGAGCUGGGACUGUCAGACUCAGACCUGGGGUGUCUCCACCCCUCUGCCCAGCAGGCACCGCCCCUCCUUAGCAUCUCACCAGCACCGCGUCAGUGCUCCUUAUGGGCUGAGGGGCCAGGGCACUCCAGUCCAGGGGCCGAGAUCUUGGGGGCCUUAGAACAACAUGAGGAGCUGGGGCAGCCCUAAGACCCCGCCCCGUAUCCCCCACUGCAGGCCUGGGGCUGCCCGGGAGGCCUACGCCCAGUGCUGGCGACACCUGGUGGUCAGAAGUGGUCCCUGUGGCCUCCCAAGUCCCAGCUAGACAGGGAGGUGCCAAGUGUCAGACCCAGAGGGACACUGCUCACCGCUCAGGGGCUCACCUGGGACCCAGGGUGACGGGCCUCCCAGAAGAGGCCUUUAUCUCUCUUGGUCAUGCCUUCCGCCCACUCCGCCUGCCCAGGAGGAAGGAAAGGGCCAAGUAGUACCUGAGAGGCCAAAGUCCACGGUUGGGGUUGAGGGGCAGAGGCCUCCUUCACCUCCUUCCCAUGCACAGCCCUC
rnacentral:lncRNA from 10 species